GCUUGGUGGAGAAGAAGCGAACAAAAGUACGCUCGCUUGCUGUCUUGUUCUCUGUCGCGAACUGGGAUCGCUCGCCAGCUAGGUCAGAUUGGAGCAAGAUUUUAUGAGAACAUAUUCCCCAUAUUCGGGGACAAGGGGCGGAACGACCUCUCGAUCUACUUACUGCAGCCCAGGAAGAAAAACGUCGUCUAGGCGUUCCCUGUUGCUCCGAUCUCCCCUACGCCUAGGACGUUGUCUGGGCCAAGAGCCAUAGUUAGUUGCUGUUUCCAUUUGGUUGUUUCUUCCUCGUUGUUGAUACCGGCAAGACCCAGCCAGAUGAUGUCCGCUGGUUGGUAGUGAGAGGACUCUUAGUACCUGCAUACCCAAAAGAGGGCGCUGGUUAAAAAACAAUCAUUUUAUUUUAUUUCUUGCUCUCCCUUAGCAGCGGGAAAGGAGUCUAUCUAUCUGCCUAGCUUUGGUAGAUUUCCCCCAACGCAAUCCACAGAAAUUCCACGAAUCCCUUGGUGGAUAAGUCCGACGACUCAGCAGCAGUGCGGAAUUGAGUUUCUUGUCUGGUGGAUCUGAUCUAUAGUUAGGGGGCAAUACAUACCAAAAGGUUCG
rnacentral:lncRNA from 1 species